rnacentral:rRNA from 1 species
AGACCGAUAGCGAACAAGUAGAGUGAUCGAAAGAUGAAAAGCACUUUGAAAAGAGAGUUAAACAGCACGUGAAAUUGUUGAAAGGGAAGCGCUUGCGACCAGACUCGCCCGCGGGGUUCAGCCGGCAUUCGUGCCGGUGUACUUCCCCGUGGGCGGGCCAGCGUCGGUUUGGGCGGCCGGUCAAAGGCCCCUGGAAUGUAGUGCCCUCCCGGGGUACCUUAUAGCCAGGG